AUGUUUCACAAAUUAAUUUUUCCCCUGAGUAUAUUUAUGGGCCCAUUUGCCCCAGCAAGCCUGUUCAUUUUGCACAGACAUAAUUUUCAGGACAAGCCCCACACAGUAUUUCCAGGGGCAGCACUCUCCUUUUCUCUGGGGUGGGGGAGAAUGAGGUCAGAGGAUCCCUCCCACCUACUUGCGCUUGCUUUGGGCUCAGGGAGGCGUGCCACAUUGUCCCCUCAGCUACAGAGCACAAGGACAGUUGAGAAGUCUGAAGCUUUUCACUCCCAUCAUUACACCCAAGGGUCAGAUCCCACAGGUCCUUUCUUAGAAUCAAGAUCUCACGAGUGUUACUUUGGAAAGUCUCCAUCAGUCGCUUAGUUCUAAUUCAGUUGAAUGACCUCUACCAGGGUGCUAUUUCAUAUUUGCAAUUAAUACUGAGAAUAAUAGUAUCACUCUUCAGCUCAUGAACACUUAACGAGUGCCCACUCUGUGCCCUCCAGGGCCAGGGGGCCCACCACAGCUGUGGUUUCUGCCUGAGGGAGUUCACAGUCAAGCACAGCCCUCCCCUCUCCCCACCCUAGUGCCUGGCUCCCUCUGAGUCUCUCUCCCCACCAACUCCCUGUUGCCAAGUGCAGCCUAGCAGACUUCCUCAGCCCCACCCCCAACUCCUGCACUUUCUACACUGGGAGCUCUGUCUGUCCCCCACCCUCAUUACGGCUCCUAAAAGCUCUAGUUCCAGGCCCAGGGGCCAAGUGAUCACUUCCAGCCUGUUUCUAAGCAGCUGAGAAGCUUUUCAGGAGAUACUUGCUCACCUAGAGUCUCAGCUUCCUCCUCUACAGACUCAGGAGCCUGGGGAUUAAAUGAGACACAGCAUGAACUAGGCCGCUGCUCAGAGGAGGCAGAGCCCCACCUUCUUCUUAGAGCUCUGCACUCUUGGGCCUACUGAACCCGUGCUCAGCACACCCUCUAAGCUCUCCUCCUCAGUUCGCCUCUCUAAGAUAAAUAUCUGGAGUCUCUCUACCAGGGCGGCCAGCAUGCAACCUGCCCCCUGCCUCCCUGCCAGGCCUGAUCUCCCAGAAUAAAUUAUAGGAGGAGAAGCUGGGCUCAUGAGCAACUGAUUUUAUAUAUCAUUUGGAAAGAGAAGAAUAUUAUUGUACUUUGUUUUCUUUUGACUAUUAUCCCCAUAAGAGCUCAUUUCUACCUCUUAACAGGGGUUCACUUGGACUGAUGAAUAGGCUAAAAGCCUUUCUGCCCAAUUCAAUUUAUUCAGUGCAAUACAUGCUGUAAAACAUUUAGCAAAAGCAUAAAUGCUGUCACUGCAGGAUGCUGCUGUUCUUCCCCGGAAACCUCCUCUCUGCCUCGGGGGGCUCUGUGGAGAUCACCCAGUGACCUCCGGGGAAGCAGGAAACAGCCUGGGUAUGUCACCUCUCCCCAACCCGAGCAGGACAGCUGACAAUGUCUUUGGGACCUUGUCUAGUGGGGGCAGGAGGGCAGAGGGAAAGUCCUGUGACUGAAAGUAUCUUGGUUUCAUCCAGAGGACCAGAAAUUUGAGUCCUUGACCUGUGACUCCCCUUCCCAAACCAGUUCUCAUAGAAUAGACAGCAUCAUCUUCAGGCCCCAAACCUGCAGCUUCAUGUGGCUUUGCAAAGCUUCCCUGAAAUGUUUAUAUCAAAUUGCUUUCUCUCAAGUAUCUCCAGUAGUCAUGGAUGGAUGUGAGAGUUGGACCAUAAAGAAGGCUAAGAGCCAAAGAAAUGAUGCUUUCAAACUGUGGUGUUGGAGAAGACUCUCGAGAGUCCCUUGGACUGCAAGGAGAUCAAAUCAGUCAAUCUUAAAGGAAAUCAA
rnacentral:lncRNA from 1 species